rnacentral:lncRNA from 1 species
UACUUUGAAAGCUAAUAUUCGCAAUACAGAGAAAAUUUACGACAAAUUUCUAAUUAUUAAAGGGUGACACAAAAUUACAUUCACUUGAUUUAAAUUUCCCGCUCGUCUGUACAACCAAUUUAAAGGGACAGGCUUUACCGAAUAUCAAAGGCGCCGCCCGGAGUGUCGCCUCUUGUUGUACCUACUCUUUGCCUUUGUUCUCGAAGGGUCAUGGAUUUUGGGGUCCGAGGACCCCAGGGUGAGGUACGAUAAAUAGAAGAAAGCAGCUAUAUCGACAGUCCUAUCUGUUUUACCCGUUUAUCUUUUACCACAUACAUCACGCAACUACCUUAUCCACUGAAGCAGAAUAAAGGGUGAUAUACUUUAUUAAAACGAGAGAAACGUCGCAAUUCACGUAGCUAGUUGGUAUCCCUGUAGCUUUGCUUUUUACAUCGUGAUCAUAUACAAGGUAUACACGCUUCAAGUUAUUUUGACGUUACCAACGCCUGCGCGUUACUUCAGAUUAGGAAGUGCGAAGAACCAAUCAUAGCAGAAAUGCGUAUCGUGAACGAAAACUUGUCGUUCGACGUUACGUUUAUCUCGCCAACAUAUGUAUAAUAUAUGCAAUGUUGCCAAAUGAAACUUCGUAUAUACGGCAACAUCGCUUUUUAGGCUAAUACAGACCGAAAAUCUGGAUUAUUGAAGCUGAAAAGGAUUGUUCGCUGUUCAGUAAGCCAAGCCUAGGGCCCGAUCGAACUGUACAGUCACUCUGAUCAAAAAGUGCAACAUUUUAUUGUGGAUGUGGAAGCACUAUUUUGAUAUUAUAAUAUUAACAUAACUACUGUUCUAGAAUUUUUAACUACCGACAAUUUAGAACUACCGACAUUAAAUGCUCACUUAUCGAAGAAUGAAAACAGACAUUUCCAGAAAAUCGCGACAAUAAAAUUUUAUGAUAUAAAAUGAGAAAUCUGAAACCAGUCAUUUUGACUGGUUGGUAGUUUUAUUGGACGUAAGUUCGAGUUCCUCAUCCAAACUUUAGCUUUUUUUAAUGUUAAUUUUUUGUUCUAACCGUGCCGCAAUGAGUAAUAGUCAUAACUUGAACAUGUACGUAUAAAAUUCUAUGAUAAUUCAAUACAGUUUACUGAUGUGUCCCCUUUUGCCGCAGAACGUUAGAAAACGUCAACUUUUUUGAAAAGCAUAUGAGGUUGGCAACCUUUAACAGUAUCUCAUCAAUGGUAUAAUUCAAAUAAUACAGUCGAUAUCAAAGUAAUCUACUGUUACCCUUAAGUGUAUUAAACUGCUGCAGCAUGAAGUGUUUCAUAAUUUUAUACUAAAAUAAAGUAGAUGGCGCUCGUUCCCGAGUCAUAGAUUCAUGUUCCCUUUAGGACAAAGGCAUGCAUAGUCUUGUUAUAUCUGUAGUCACUGCGCAAACAUAAGAGAGUUGCCGCUUCGUCGCCAGGCGCUGCUCGCACGACCCGACUUCCGCGCUCCUGGCUGUCGUUCUAGGAAGCAGUCUCCAGGAUCUCUCUCUCGCUCCUGGGAUGGUUUCGACGGUAACGAUAUGACAACUCUCUCGGAUUGUCGCGCCCUCCCUACGACCGAUCGACGUCGGGCCCACUCUCGAUCGGGGACUCGUCGAGCUAAUAGUUGUGCGCGUUUUCUACGUCGCCCCAUCCUAGGACCGACAGGAGAUCGGCUUAUAAUUCGGACUUUGCUGUGAACUCUGCUUCAGUGGUAAAAUUCUCCAUCAUUACGGUACGACACGACGCCAUGCAAACACGAGCAGCAGAUGGGGAUUUGAUGGACCACCAAUUCGGAACUCGGAAUUCAACGUUCAAACACUGGAAAGGGGGUGAUGUGGUACUUGUCUAAUCUGAACGCCCCUUUAUGAAGGGUCGACGCAGCGCCAUCUAACAGUGAUACGUGGUACUACAACAGAAACUUCGCUGAUGGCAAAAGUAGUUUAAGCCAUGCUAUCGGACCGACGAGCUAGUCUUUACAGCAUUGAAGUGGAGGAAGGAUCUCUGCGUUCCAUUUAAUCAAAUUCCAAAAUUGAAUAUACACACAAUCUGCCACGGUCUUCGACAAAGUAUUAAGCCAAUAAAGAGUUACAUAAAUUAAAAAUUCUACAAAAUAUAUUUGCAAAUUGUAUGUAUUUAUGAAGUUACAAUAAAUAAACAAAAGAAAUCAUGUACUUAUUUACAAUCCUUUCCAUUACAUUCUUAAACAUAACAGACAAUCAACAGG